rnacentral:rRNA from 1 species
UACGGAGGGGGUUAGCGUUGUUCGGAAUUACUGGGCGUAAAGCGCGCGUAGGCGGACCAGAAAGUUGGGGGUGAAAUCCCGGGGCUCAACCCCGGAACGGCCUCCAAAACUCCUGGUCUUGAGUUCGAGAGAGGUGAGUGGAACUCCGAGUGUAGAGGUGAAAUUCGUAGAUAUUCGGAGGAACACCAGUGGCGAAGGCGGCUCACUGGCUCGAUACUGACGCUGAGGUGCGAAAGUGUGGGGAGCAAACAGG